UACGGAGGGUGCAAGCGUUAUCCGGAUUCACUGGGUUUAAAGGGUGCGUAGGUGGGUCUGUAAGUCAGUGGUGAAAUCUCCGAGCUUAACUUGGAAACUGCCAUUGAUACUAUUAGUCUUGAAUACCGUGGAGGUCAGCGGAAUAUGUCAUGUAGCGGUGAAAUGCUUAGAUAUGACAUAGAACACCAAUUGCGUAGGCAGCUUACUACACGAUCAUUGACGCUGAGGCACGAAAGCGUGGGGAGCAAACAGG
rnacentral:rRNA from 1 species